UUUGGGUUCAAUAUAAAAUCACACAUAAUUUAAGAUAAGGAUCAAUUUUAAAACAAAACCAACUCACAUGGAAAAAAACUCUCUCUCUUCUUUUAGAGACAGACUUUUCUCUCGAACUUCCCUCUUACCAAAUACCCAUCUUUCAAAGGGUCUUUUGUUGUAUCAUAUUUCGAUCAUUUGAUCGAUUUUCUAUUUUCGUUGCGGAUUUUUGUUUUUCGUUAUGGCGGUUUUGUAGUGUUUCUUCGAUCUCAAACUGAUCAGCUUCUUCAUGGUUUCAUCUUUUAUCAGUUUUGUCGAAGAUAAAAUAAAGUCCGGACCUUAUAAUUCCGGUUGUGUCUUACUCUUUUGCGAUUCUAAAUCAAGAUUCCGGUGUGUCUGUUAUGAUUUAUCUUCAUUGAAAGAUAAUUUUGGAUUCCUUUUCCUUAGAAAUCAGUCUUACCCGAAGCCUGCCGAAAAAUCGGCUUUGGGUUCAGCUUUCUUCAGGUACAGGCGAUGGCGAAAGACGAAAGAGAAUAUACAAGCAUUGGGCUUGGAUUAAUGAUGAGGCUGAAGGAAGAACAUGAAGAUCGACUCUGGUAAAGAUACGGCGGUGACGAUGUAACUCGGCGAAGUUACAGCUUCGGUGAAGUCUUUGUGUAGGCUCGACGUGUGUCCAACCACGUGUAAAACAAACGAGAUAGUGGAUAGCACGUGGCAAAGGUUAAACUAGAGUCGGUUUUAUUGUUUUUGGGCUAAUAUUUUUAAUGAUGUAAUGUUUUUUGGGCCUUAUCGUUGAAGUCUGAAUACUUAUAAUUUUGCC